CGGCAACAGCUCAAAUUUGAAAUCUGGUCUCUUCGGGGCCCGAGUUGUAAUUUGUAGAGGGAGUUUCGGGCGCGGCGGCGGUUUAAGUCCCUUGGAACAGGGCGUCGCAGAGGGUGAGAAUCCCGUAUGUGACCGAUGGCCAAGCCUAUGUGAAACCCCUUCGAC
rnacentral:rRNA from 1 species